UACGAAGGGGGCUAGCGUUGUUCGGAUUUACUGGGCGUAAAGCGCACGUAGGCGGACUUUUACGUCAGGGGUGAAAUCCCGGGGCUCAACCCCGGAACUGCCUUUGAUACUGGAAGUCUUGAGUUCGAGAGAGGUGAGUGGAAUUGCGAGUGUAGAGGUGAAAUUCGUAGAUAUUCGCAGGAACACCAGUGGCGAAGGCGGCUCACUGGCUCGAUACUGACGCUGAGGUGCGAAAGCGUGGGGAGCAAACAGG
rnacentral:rRNA from 1 species